GUUUUGGCAAGUUGAGCAACACUGGAUUUGUGUUGUUGGCUUGUUUAGUUUGAAAGGAGUCUUGCGAAAAGUUCUUCGACAAAAUAGGAGUAACAAUAAAUUUCUCCAAAUUGUUCUUCAAAAGCAUUCCCAGAUCUAACAAUCAAUCGGAGACAGAGGACUAUGUCGAGCAGAGAACCCUCAAUUGGAGGGGACUGCAAUCGGCUGUAUACGGCCUUAACUGGGUGCCACCGCCGGUUUGCGCCCGGCAGGGAGAGGGACUUAGCAUGCCGCCAUAUAAACCGGUCGCUGGCAGAGUGUAUGGUGGCCGUUAUAUGUCCGGCCGAAUCGGACGCCGUCCGCAGCCUCUGCUCUAGUGGCGGCACCGCCCUCAAACGCCGACAGUGUCAGGAGGCGCAACUCUCCCUUUCCGUUUGCCUCGCUUCCCAUCAGGACUCUUCCUGAAUUGAAAAGAAGAAUCGCAAUGCCCUUUUGAUUUCUUCUCCUUCUUCUUAGGAUGACAGAACAUCUCCUUUUUCAUUUGAAUUGUCAGCCGGCCACAUGGAGUUCCUCGGUUCAUCUACUAGCCGGAGUGAAUAAUCCUUCUAGAGUUAAUCCUAGAAUCUGUACAGAUGGAAAUAGUUUUGGAUGAUUUUGCAUCCUUGGUGUUAAACAACACGAAACUUGAUUGUGCUGCUGAAAUAGCUAAUGAAGU